UCGCUUCAUUUCGUUCAUUUGAUCCUCAAUCGCUGAUACUCUUUCUUCCAGUUGAUCGAGUCGGUUACUGAAGCUUGUGCAUUUGUCACGUAUUUCUCGUGUCAUGGUUUUCAUCUCUUUCAUUUCGUUUAUGACCUUCUCUGCAAUAAUUACUCUAGCCAUCAAUUCUUCCACUUUUUUUUCAAGAUUUUUAGUUUCUUUGCUUGCACGUAAUUCCUCCUCUAGCUCUGAGAAGUUUGAUGGACUGAAGCCUUCUUCUCUCAUCUUGUCAAAGUCAUUCUCCGUCAAGCUUUGAUCCGUUGCUGGCGAUGAGCUGCGCUCCUUUGCCGGGGAAGAUAUGCUCUUAUUUUUUGAAUUUCCAGCUUUUCUGCCCUGCUUUUUCCCCAUCUUUGUGGUUUUAUCUGCCUCUGGUCUUUGAUGAUGAUGGUGAUGUACUGAUGGGGUUUUGGUGUAGGUGUCCUUCCUGUUUGAUAGUUUUCCUUCUAACAGUCAGGACCCUCAGCUGUAGGUCUGUUGGAGAUUGCUUGAGGUCCACUCCAGACCCUGUUUGCCUGGGUGUCAGCAGCAGAGGCUGCAGAAGAUAGAAUAUUGCUGAACAGCGAGUGUACCUGUCUGAUUCCUUCUUUGGAGGCUUCCUCUCAGGGGUGUACUCCACCCUGUGAGGUGUGGGGUGUCAGACUGCCCCUAGUGGGGGAUGUCUCCCAGUUAGGCUACUCAGGGGUCAGGGACCCACUUGAGCAGGCAGUCUGUCCCUUCUCAGAUCUCAACCUCCGUGUUGGGAGAUCCACUGCUCUCUUCAAAGCUGUCAGACAGAGUCAUUUGCGUCUGCAGAGGUUUCUGCUGCUUUUGGCUUUUGUUGUUGUUUAUUGUGCCUUGUCCCCAGAGGUGGAAUCUACAGAGACAGGCAGGUUUCCUUGAGCUGCUGUGAGCUCCACCCAGUUCCAGCUUCCCAGCGGCUUUGUUUACCUACUUAAGCCUCAGCAAUGGCGGGCGCCCCUCCCCCAGCCUUGCUGCUGCCUUGCCGCGAGAUCGCAGACUGUUGUGCUAGCAAUGAGGGGGGCUCCGUGGGCGUGGGACCCUCCCGGCCAGGUGUGGGAUAUAAUCUCCUGGUGUGCCUGUUUGCUUAAAGCGCAGUAUUGGGGUGGGAAUUACCCGAUUUUCCAGGUGUUGUGUGUCUCAGUUCCCCUGGCUAGGAAAAGGGAUUCCCUUUCCUCUUGCGCUUCCCAGGUGAGGCGGUGCCUCACCCUGCUUCAGCUCUCGCUGGUCGGGCUGCAGCAGCUGAUCAGCACCGAUUGUCCGGCACUCCCUAGUGAGAUGAACCCAGUACCUCAGUUGAAAAUGCAGAAAUCACUGGUCUUCUGUGUCGCUCGCACUGGGAGUUGGAGUCUGGAGCUGUUCCUAUUCGGCCAUCUUGCUCCCAAUCACCUUUACUUCUUACCACAUGCCAAUGCGAUGGUAAACCAUAGAUUCAACUUUAUAAAUGAAGAAUCUGAGGCUUUAAAGUGUAGACAACCUGCCAGGGUCAAACUGCUAAUCAGUGGCAGGGUGGUUCUGUGCAACAGCAAAGCCCACUUUAUUAAAACUACUUCUAUGCUCUCCAAUCAUUUUUUAUUGGGAAACUGUAAUGGUUGAAUAGCAUCCCCUUGCCAAAAUUCACAUCCACCUGGAACCUCAGAAUGUGAUCUUAUUUGGAAAUAGAGUCUUUGCAGAUGUUCUUAGUUAAGGAUCUUGAGAUGAAAUCAUCCUGGAUUUAGGGUGGACUCUGAAUCCAAUCCCUGGUGUUCUCAUAAGGAAAGGAGAGGAGAGGACACAGGGACACACCAACAAGGGGCCAGGUGAAAGUGGAAGCAGAGUGGAGUGGUGCAGCCACGAGCCAAGGAAUGCCAGAAGCCACCGG
ensembl:lncRNA